UAUCACCACAGAACGAUCUACACAACCAUUUUAACCUUUAACCUUAAUUCUAUUGGUCACAUACACAGUGUGACAUGCAGUGAAAUGCUAUUUAUAACUGUCCCUUUUAUACAAAAAAAAAAUAAAAAAAAUCUAAUCAAAUACAAGAGUCAAUCAUGGAGAUUUAAAAAACAAGAAUAAAAUACAAUGAAAUGAAUGAAAAGAGAAUAAGAGAAUAAUAUUAUUUUACUCUAACAAUAUAACAUUUCUAGCUGUAUUUAAUGUUUAGAGCAACAUCCAGAAAGCAGGUUCCCUCACCAGCCUCUGGGUUGUUCAGCUUUUGUGUUUUCAGGGUUAACAUGUUACUGUUACUGGAUGAUAAACAUUGCUGGAAUAUUUGUAGGAUUUGUUUAGUAUUGUCAUUUUAACCAGCAAAUAAUUAUAUUGGAUUCGAUCUAGGUUCGAGUUCACAGCAAGGUUAUGUAUCUGAAUAUUUUUAGCUUCCUUCCUGUUUGUCAUAUAGAGAAGUUACAUGUUCACGCUCGGAUAUGUUUGCCAUCAGAGCAUUCAUGUAUCCGUCCACCGGUCUGUGAGUGUCUUUAGUGUGAUAUCUCACGACUGAGUGAGUGAUUAUUUGGAAUUUUCAUUGUAACCAACAGAGAAACUGAUUACAUUUUUACUCGCUCUGCAGUUCUGCUGGUGUCCAGCUCUCCCAGGCUUUAUGAGGCUCAGAUCUGCAGGAAGGGGUGAAGGGCUGAAGCGAGAUGGGGGACAUCACUCAUCUUAAUGUGCUGUCACUUCUGUUUUUAGGACCAAAAUUCUUUUUUUUUUUUUUUUUUUGCUCCAGCUCCAAUUUAACUGACCUAUUAAAUGUAAUAAGAAGCUGUGAAAAAGCCAAAGAAAGAAAGAAAGAAAGAAAAAGAGUAGACUUUAAUCCAUCUUUAUCUUUUCUUUGUCUGUUUUUUUCACUUUCUAUCUUUUGUUGAAACGCGGCGUACUGUGGUGUGUGACAAAGACGGAUUAAAUCCUAAGACUUGCGUCAGUAUUUCAGAGAACUCUUUUUCUGUUUUGAUGAAUGUAUUAACGUCUUGUAUUUUAGCUCCUCGAUCUAAACUAAAUAUUAAUAAGUGGCACUGCUGUAUUAUGCCACCUUUAUUUUUUUGGUCUUUUAAUAAUCCGUCCGUAUUUAUUUAGCUUUUAUGCUUUUUUUUUCAUCCAGAGGAUGUUUCAGGAACGCUGGAUGCAGGAAUACAAGCCAAACCAGGCACUUUCUGUUUUUUGCUAUAGUUUCUCUCCUGAUUUUUUCUUAAAUUUUACUCUCUUGGAUUUUCUCUGUAUUCAUGCAUUUAGUAUUUACGUAUUUAUGCAUCGAUUGGACAUAUUUUAUAUUAUGUGAUAUGUGAAUAUGUGAAUAUUUCACCAAGUAACUGCAGAGAACAAAAUAACUGCACCAAGGUGGUCACAGUUAGCUCUUAUUAUUGGCACCCUUGGUUUUAAAAAUGGGUUUAAAAAGGUUCUAAAAUAAUGCCUUUGCGGUUCAUAUUGUAGCGAAAAUACUAAAUAAAUCUUACCUUUAGCUGAAGUAAAGAAGAAAACCCUAUCAAAAAAUAGAUUUUUUUUUCAUGUGCCACAAUUACUGGCUUCACUGUAUGCAAACUUCUUUUGUUAACAUAAUCUAUUUAUAGCGUAGUCCCUAUUUUCUCCCCAAUUUAGUCAACCGUCACUUCUCGCUAACCUGCCAGCUCUCUCCAUCAUACAACAAGGUACCAAAUGGAGAGUGUGAAGGCUAACAGGUGCUUCCUCUGAGACACAGGAAGAAAGCCAACCACAAGUAUUCAAACUGCUACUCAAGAUGUGUUGAGCUCUCGAGCUUCCGGACGCACUAUGUGUUAAUUGUCACUGUGAUUGAUGAGUGAGAGAGAGAGCGAGAGAGAGAGAGAGAGAGAGAGAGAGAGAGAGAGAGAGAGAGAGAGAGAGAGAGAGAGAGAGAGAAUUCUGUCUCUCCCAGCAAAGGUGAUUAUACUUCCUUGCCUCUUAGUGGAUCCAGAGUCGAUCCCAGUAACAAACACGUUAAAUCAGAUUCUUCAGAAUCUACAUUUGUAUGCAUUAUUAAAUAUUUUUUUCCUGAGGUGUUCAAAUUUUAAUCCAUUAUUCAGUAAUAGAGAAUGUUGAGAAUGUUGCAAUAGAGAGGAAUUUAAUUCUGGACUUGCUCAUUGGUCCUGGCAGUUUAAGGGGUUAAAAACACAUUAAUUGUGCUUGAUCCAUUUUAAUGCAUUGACACAGUUAAAGGGGAGGAAUUUCUAAGGAG